AAAAAAAAAUCUUCUUCACUACCAGUCUGAGGAUUCCCGGGAAAGUAAAGAAACUUGCACUGCUAACACGUAAUGCUUCUGAGAAUUCGAAGCUAAUGAAGCUCUUCGUAAGUAGCAAUCUGCUCAGAAACUCUGUUUUCUUCAAGAUCUCCGCCUUUGUUUUGAUCUCCGUUGCUUGUUUCUUCCUCGGUAAACAUUGGUCUGAGGAUGGCUUCCGCCGUCUCAUCUUCUUCUCCGCCGAGCCUUCUCGAUCCCCCAUUGUCGCACUCUCACCUGAUUUCGGAAAAACGUAUAACAUCUCUGAUUUGAUCUAUGAGAGUCACCCGAUUUUGCCUCCGUCUUUGUCACCGCCGCCGCCGCCAGAUUCUGUUGAGCUGAAGGUGUUUGGGAUCGUUAAUGAGAAUGGAAAAAUGUCUGAUGAGUUCCAGAUUGGUGAUUACGACGCUGAAUCGGUGGAGACGUUGGGGAAUCAGACGGAAUUCGAGAGUAGCGACGGUGAUAUUAAAUCCACCACGGCUAGAGUUAGUGUGAGAAAAUUCGAGAUGUGUUCGGAGAAUAUGACGGAGUACAUUCCUUGUUUGGAUAAUGUAGAAGCCAUCAAAAGGCUUAAUUCGACGGCGCGUGGAGAGCGAUUUGAGCGGAAUUGUCCUAAAGAAGGAAUGGGGUUGAAUUGCACCGUUCCUGUUCCCAAUGGGUACCGUCCUCCGAUUCCGUGGCCGGGAAGCCGUGAUGAGGUGUGGUUCAACAAUGUUCCACAUACUAAACUUGUUGAAGAUAAAGGUGGUCAAAACUGGAUUUACAAAGAGAAUGACAAAUUCAAGUUUCCUGGUGGUGGUACUCAGUUUAUACACGGGGCUGAUCAGUACUUGGAUCAGAUCUCUCAGAUGAUUCCUGAUAUCAGCUUUGGUAAUCAUACACGAGUUGUUCUUGACAUUGGAUGCGGUGUGGCAAGUUUUGGUGCCUACUUAAUUUCACGAAAUGUCUUGACUAUGUCUAUAGCUCCAAAAGAUGUUCACGAGAACCAGAUACAAUUUGCUCUCGAGCGUGGUGUCCCUGCAAUGGUGGCAGCAUUCACAACACGGAGAUUGUUGUACCCAAGCCAAGCUUUUGAUUUGGUUCAUUGUUCAAGAUGUAGAAUCAACUGGACUCGUGAUGAUGGGAUCCUGCUCCUUGAAGUUAAUAGGAUGCUUCGUGCCGGAGGAUAUUUUGUUUGGGCAGCACAACCUGUAUAUAAGCAUGAAAAGGCCUUGGAAGAACAGUGGGAAGAGAUGCUAAACCUUACCACUAGGCUAUGCUGGGUUCUUGUAAAGAAGGAAGGAUAUAUAGCUAUCUGGCAGAAGCCUGUAAAUAACACUCGUUAUCUUAGUCGUGGUGCUGGACUCACUCCUCCUUUGUGCAAUUCUGAAGAUGACCCAGAUAAUGUUUGGUACGUGGAUCUGAAGGCAUGCAUUACUAGAAUUGAAGAAAAUGGAUAUGGAGCAAAUCUUGCUCCUUGGCCAGCUCGUUUACAGACCCCACCGGAUAGGCUGCAGACAAUACAAAUCGAUUCUUACGUAGCCCGAAAAGAGCUCUUUGUAGCUGAAUCAAAGUACUGGAAAGAAAUAAUAUCAAACUAUGUAAAUGCCCUACACUGGAAGCAGAUAGGACUCAGAAAUGUCUUGGACAUGAGAGCUGGAUUUGGCGGAUUUGCAGCUGCAUUAGCUGAGCUAAAGGUUGAUUGCUGGGUUCUCAACGUUAUCCCAGUCAGUGGUCCCAACACAUUACCCGUUAUAUAUGACCGUGGACUACUAGGCGUAAUGCAUGACUGGUGUGAGCCAUUCGAUACUUACCCGAGAAGCUACGAUUUGCUGCAUGCCGCGGGUCUAUUUUCCAUUGAAAGAAAAAGGUGCAACAUGACAACGAUGAUGCUAGAGAUGGACAGGAUUUUGAGACCUGGAGGACGUGUAUACAUACGGGAUACUAUCAAUGUAAUGAGUGAGCUUCAAGAGAUUGGAAACGCAAUGAGGUGGCACACGAGCUUACGUGAAACUGCUGAAGGACCUCACGCAAGUUACAGGGUUCUCGUAUGUGAGAAGCGGUUAGAAUCGUCUGAGAAGCGUCGGACCAAGAAGAAGAGGAAGACUAAAGGAAAAAGAGCUUGACAUGUCCAUAAAAUACAAACAAUUUUCAUUGAUAAUGCCCAUGGAGCUGAGCUUGGGGAGAAGGAACUUUGGGUGGCCGUAUGAGGUAGUUGAGGAUGUGAAAAGGUAAGUAGAACCUAAUCCUGACUCCGGAAAAAGCUCUUCUUCUUCGAGGUACGUUUGAUUUUUACUCUUUUUGCUGUCUAAAUUUCCCGUUGGGAUGUUGACAAACCAUGGAAACUGCCAGCAAUUUUCUGUCCAGAAUUUGCUGAUUCCGUAAGGGAAAUAUGUUUACAUGGUUCGGUUUACAUGGUUUUGAAAUUAUAAUUGAUUUCUGUUCGGUUUAAAUUGGUUUUGAGAAGAAAACAAAAAAACAUUAAUAAGUCACGCGAUGGAAAUUUUGGAGAGAAGUGCGUCGAUCGAAAUAGGCAUGAUUCCGAAAGGUAAACCCCUUUAGGAAUUGCUCUCACUCGCGCAACGCGCACUUUGUGCGAGUGGGUGUGAAAUAGAGCCUUCUGAUUGGCUUAAAAACUCUAAAAAAAGUGAAAUAGUAUACAUGUUGCUCCUCCUCUUUUAUAUAUUUUGCUUCUUCUUCUCUGUUUUGAGGCAAAAACACGAAGAGCUCACAAUAAGAUUCAUGCUUUCAGAUUUAGACUGGAAAAGAAAAUUCAGAAGCUUAACGAGCUGGUCCGAGAUCCAAGGAGGCAGUUAUUGCAAUGCAGAAAUGAAAAUUAGGUUGAGUUGACGGAGCUAGAAACUGAGAUGAUCAGCUAUUAGUAACAGGUGUUUAGCUCCAUAUUACAGUCACCGGAAGUUCGAAUUUGGUUUCUGAUGGGAUCUAAACAAGUAUCAAAGUCUAGAAUUGCUGGAUUUAGCAAGUAGACUGCUAUGUCACAGUCCCAGUUCGUUUUCGUCCACUCAGUAGUCCAAGGGAAAUCCAACAAGGAGAGAAGAUUGCAUGGUAUGCAGAUGGGGAAACAAUUGUGAGGAAUUAGCAUAAUCAAUCAAUAGCUUAUGCAUAUGACCGUGUUUUCGGGCCUACGACGACUACACGCUAUAUCUAUUAUGUUGCUACUCAGCAUGUCGUUCAUGGUGCUACGGUGGGGAUCAAUGGGACCAUUUUCGCAUAUGGAGUGAACUCACACUAUGCAUGGACCAUGUUUACGUUUGAAGAUGUGCAUGAAAUAGAACAAUUUUAUCUCAUGAAGACAGUUUUGUUUGGUUUAAAUGUCAGAGGGACCAAAGAUCUCCAGGUAUAAUACCAUCAGCCGUGAAAGAUGCUUUCCGCAUUAUACAAGAGGUACUUCUUAGGUUGUUGAUUAGUCGAAUUCCCUGGCCUAAGUGCUAGCUAUUCUACCUGCUUUUCGUCUCUCCUUUCACUAUAUAUCCUGUUCACCAGUGGUGCAAAUGAUAGUCAGAUUCUGCUUUUGAUAUAUCUUAAAAUCCAUAAGGUUCAUUUUACUUGAGGUUGUCAAUGAUUUAUUGAACCCAGCAGGACAAAAUUUGAGGAAUAGAGAAGAUGAGCAGGGAAAUUUUAUUGAAGGGAUUGAAGAAGAAGUUGGUCUAUCCCUUGCUCAUGCGCUUUCUCUUAUAGCAGCUGGCACUUCCAUGUAAAUUUCGGUUCGGUUUACAAUGGUUUUAAAAUUACAAUUGAUUUUCGGUUCGGUUUAUAUUGGUUUAAAAACGAAAAAAAAAAAAGAAAAGAGUCACGCGAUGGAAAUUUUGGAGAGAAGUGCGUCGAUCGAAAUAGGCAUGAUUCCGAAAGGUAAACCCCUUUAGGAAUUGCUCUCACUCGCGCAACGCGCACUUUGUGCGAGUGGGUGUGAAAUAGAGCCUUCUGAUUGGCUUAAAAACUCUAAAAAAAGUGAAAUAGUAUACAUGUUGCUACCUCCUCUUUUAUGUUCUUAUAUAUUUUUCUUCCUUCUCUCUCGGUCUGAGGCAAAAACUAGAUUCAUGCUUUCAGAUUUUGACUGGUGAGUGCUAAAAUCUGUAUAAACCUUGAUUAUUGCUUAUCGUCUUUUUUUUUCUUAUCGAAUCUAUACUUCUGGUCUGAAUUAUUUGGUGUUUUUUUGUCCUGUUCUGAUUUUGUUUUUGGUUGAUUUUGUAUUGUCAAAGGAAAGUUUCUGAUAUUUGUUUACAGGUGUGGUUCCACAUAGUCGACUUGUUGAAGACAAAGAAAAUGACAAAUACAAGUAUCCUGGUGCCUGGUGGUGUACUCAGUUUAUACACGGAGCUGAUCAGUACUUGGAUCAGAUCUCUCAGAUGAUUCCUGAUAUCAGCUUUGGUAAUCAUACACGACUUGUUCUUGACAUUGGAUGGGGUGUGGCAAGUUUUGGUGCCUACUUAAUGUCUUGGCUAUCUCCAUAGCUCCAAAACAUGUUCAUCAGAACCAGAUACAGUUUGCUCUUGAGCUUGGUGUUCCUGUAAUGGUGGCCAAGCCAAGCUUUUGAUUUGGUACUUUGUUCAAGAUGUCUAAUCAACUGGACUCGUGAUGAUGGGAUCCUGCUCCUUGACGUUAAUAGGAUGCUUCAUGCCGGAGGGUAUUUUGUUUGGGCAGCACACGCACAACCUGUAUAUUUUCAUGAAAAGGCCUUGGAAGAACAGUGGGAAGUUUGCCUAUCACAAGGCAUUUACAGCAAGUUUCUUUUGGUCUGCAAGGAUAUAGUCUCUUAAUUGAGAGCAAGUUUCUUUUGGUCUGCAAGGAUAUAGUCUCUUAAUUGAGAUCAUGCUUGUAUGUGACUUAGUGAAACAUGACAACGAUGAUGCUAGAGAUGGACCGGAUUUUAAGACCUCGAGGACGUGUAUACAUACGGGACACAAUCAAUGUAAUGAGCUAGAUUCAAGAGAUUGGAAACGCAAUGAGGUGGCACAUGAGCUUAUGUGAAACUGCUGAAGGACCUCACUCAAGUUACAGGGUUCUCUUAUGUGAGAAGCAGUUUGAAUCGUCUGAGAAACGUCGUACCAAGAAGAAGAGGAAGACUAGAGGGAAAAAAGCUUGACAUUUACAUAGAAUGCAAAUGAUGGGCUACAAGUUUCUGGGGAUCUUUGAUCAAUGGUUAGUUUAGUUGGGAGGCUUUUGGAAUUUUAGAAAAGUUAGCGACUCUGAAACUGUUUGUGAGGUUUUGGCGUUUAACCCUCUUUAACGUUAUUGAAACUCACUUAACCCAAAUAUUUCACAUGUUGUUGACAUAAUUUAGGAAGAGUCACAAGGCAACACUAUAUGAUGCA